GGAAGUAUAGCUCAAGUGGUAGAGCACCAGCCUUGAACAACAACAAAAAAGGCAAGUGAAAGGUUGAGGUCUUGAGUUCAAACCCCAGUACUUGCA
rnacentral:tRNA from 1 species